UUUCCGUAGGUGAACCUGCGGAAGGAUCAUUAUUGAAUAACAGAGGUGCGAGGGCUGUCGCUGACCCGAAAGGUCGUGCACGCCCGAGUGCCCGCACACACAUCCAUCUCACCCCGAUGUGCACCACCGCGUGGGUCCCCCUUUGGCUUGUUCGGCGGGGGGCUUACGUUUUCACACAAACUGUUUAUGCAGUGUAGAAUGUAUUUUUUGUUUUUGCGAUCACGCAAUCAAUACAACUUUCAACAACGGAUCUCUUGGCUCUC
rnacentral:misc_RNA from 1 species